rnacentral:piRNA from 1 species
UGGCUUCUAUAACAGUGUACUAGGGA